rnacentral:rRNA from 1 species
CCUACGGGAGGCAGCAGUGGGGAAUUUUGGACAAUGGGCGCAAGCCUGAUCCAGCAAUGCCGCGUGAGUGAAGAAGGCCUUCGGGUUGUAAAGCUCUUUUGUCAGGGAAGAAACGGCUGAGGUUAAUACCUUCGGCUAAUGACGGUACCUGAAGAAUAAGCACCGGCUAACUACGUGCCAGCAGCCGCGGUAAUACGUAGGGUGCAAGCGUUAAUCGGAAUUACUGGGCGUAAAGCGUGCGCAGGCGGUUUUGUAAGUCUGACGUGAAAUCCCCGGGCUCAACCUGGGAAUUGCGUUGGAGACUGCAAGGCUGGAGUCUGGCAGAGGGGGGUAGAAUUCCACGUGUAGCAGUGAAAUGCGUAGAGAUGUGGAGGAACACCGAUGGCGAAGGCAGCCCCCUGGGUCAAGACUGACGCUCAUGCACGAAAGCGUGGGGAGCAAACAGGAUUAGAUACCCUGGUAGUCCACGCCCUAAACGAUGUCUACUAGUUGUCGGGUCUUAAUUGACUUGGUAACGCAGCUAACGCGUGAAGUAGACCGCCUGGGGAGUACGGUCGCAAGAUUAAAACGUCAAAGGAUUGACGGCUUGGNGAGNGCGAGACGACGACGAGGGAGGAGG